CACCGCCCGCCCCCGCCCGGCGGCGCGGGGAAACUGUGAACGGCUCCUGUGGCCAAAUGUGGCCAAACUGGGGCAGACAGGGGCCUGGGACAACUUCUCAACCCCAAGGACCGCCCGAGGGACAGACUGUACAUUCUGACGUGGGACCAGGUCUUCUCAACCCAUCUCAGCAGCCAGCAGAAGGCAGUGCCGUACAUUCAGUAAAACUGUGCGGAGGCAUCUGUUGGCCGGACCCUGCCCAGGGGCCAUGGUGGACAUGGUCAGGAAGACACAGUCAAGGACUCAGCAUCCCUGGGGUGACACACACCCCAGCAGAAGGCCACCGGACAGCCAGAGACACCUGCUGUGAGGAGGCGACCACGCAUAUUUUUUUAAUCGUGGGAAGCUUUCCAGCUGAACGCCUUCCUGGAUGGUUGGGUUUUGAAAUGUGGAUUCACGUCUUCAAAAUGAAGCUGAUCUGUGGGCUGUGAUCAAUAUCAAACAAAAUCAUCAGUGAAAUGCAAAAAAAAAAAAGUCAAUAUGAGUGAAGAAGGUUAAGUCCAAGGAGCCCUAUUUCGUAAGGUAUGACUGCCUUCACCUUCUGCACUUGGCCCUAGCAGGCUCUCCAUCAGACUGCAGGCCAGUAGGACUGAAGCCCCCUCUCCUUCCUGCGCCCUCCAAGACGGUCGUGACUCUCCCUCCUAAUGCAUCUCUGGUGCUUAGCCUGGGGCUUCGGAGAGAUUCGGCAAGGUUUGCUGAAUACAAGGUUGCAUUCGAGAAUUGUAACUAGGGAUCCAAUUUGAUGAAGAGUUAAUGGCAAAGAGUCUUGACGAGAAGGGGGCGUCACCCCAGGGAAAGGAGAUGGAUUCUCCCCAGAGCCUCCAGAAGGGAAUGCAGCCCUGCCCACACCUGGAUUUCCACUGAGACCCAUUUUGACUCUGACCUCCAAAACUGUAAUAAAUGUACUUAUAAAGGCAACGUACAGCAUUUCACACUUACACAGCGCUUUCUGAGUCCUCAACACAGCACCAGGACUCGAGAAUGACUACCCCGCGUGUUUGAGAAGUGCCAGCCUCACUUUGCCCAGAGCAAAGCGGGGCUUGAGCCGUGCUGCCAAGCCCCCAGACCCAGAGCCCAGCUGAAGGGGCUCUUCCCCAAUCUCGGGCUCCCACCUUCACACUAAGACCCAAGACUGUGGGCAGCAAAGAGCCCAGAGGAGGAAAUUGAUUCUUCUUGCUUGUUUUAUGGCUCUUAGGGUGUUACCAUAACAGCAUGGAUUCUUCCCUGAACUCAGCGGAACAUAUGGGAAACCUAUACUUAGCUUGUCAUUUCAAGCCCUUCCUCCCCCACACCCAGCUCUCCCCCCCAGAAGUCCUCAAUAUGGUAUCAAUUCUGUAGGUUAAAAAAAAAAUGUUCAACUGGGUGAAGGGUCCUUUGGUCUUGACCCAUGAGCAGCGAUGUGUCCUGCACUUUGACUGGAGUUGCAGUUGACCACUAAAGUGCCAAGUGGACAUUGUCCCUGGAAUGGCUAUCCUAUUGGCCACGGCGGGAGCAGCAUAGGCGAGACAACUGAAUCCGGUGCACAGCCACCAGAACAGAGAUGGCUUUGGCCAAAGACAGCUACAGAAUGUGCAAAACAAAGAGACGGCACAAGGCAAUCUUUAAAAAUAGUCAUAAAUGUCAAAACAGACCAAAUGAGAAUAUGCUCCUCUGCCUAAAAAUAGACAGUGUUUCAGAGUUGGCUUCAUACAGGAAAUCAUCACUCUGCUCUUUUAACUCUCAUAUUUAAGGGUCUUAGAUCUGACUUUUAUAAAUGAGAAAUCCAAUAGUUAUGCACAUGCUUACAACAUGCCCAGUAAGUAACUGAUUCUCCCUGGUAUACUUCUAGAAUGGAUACUAGGCAGCAUCUCUCCAAAAGAGGAUUACUAAGCCAUCAGCUGUUCUUUUAGUGUCUAAGUCAU